CCUCUUCCAGGGACAAAAAGAAGGGAGCAGUUCAGCUACUUGAAGAAACCAAAUGGUAUGUUGAGGCAAAUUAAAACCAGAGAGUCAGUUGGAGAAGCCCGAAGAGUAACCCAGGUGUCGAAAUACAGACACAUCAGGAGAAAACAAUGCCAGCCUCCUGCCAGGGAUCUAUCUUAACUAAGCAUCCAAUUAUCUUUUGGCUGCAAGACUACGUUCUGAUUCCCUAUACUUCAAACUUGGUUUCUUCUUCACCCUGGAUACUUGCAGAGCCGGGCACCACUCAUGUGAUAAUGCCAGGCUGGAUUCUCUAGAAGCAGAUGCUGGGAGGCUAUUUGGGGUACAAGGUGUUCCUUAGGAAUCAACAGCUGUGUUGGGAAGGAGAGGACACAGGAUCGCACAAAGGAAGACAUCAACAGUGCUGUAGAGAGCCCUCCAGAGGGUAGCAUUUGUCAGAGUGUUCUCCAUUGGGCUGAAACACCUGGGCAUUCAUGUUCUUCUCACUCAAUCACCAGUUUCAGCUCUCAAAAAGAAACAAAGUUUGAUGGUGAACAAAAUGCAAAGAUCAGGAGGACCCAGAGCCCAGAAAGGAAUAUAGAGGGGGAAUCCCUGGGAAGAGAAGAGGGCACGGCGCUGAGAGCUCUCUCUUUCCUGCUACCAUGUGAAGAAGGACUUCGCUUCCCCUUCACCUUCCACCAUGACUGUAAGCUUCCUGAGGCAUCUCCAGCCAUGUGGAACAGUGAGUGAAUCAAACCUCUUU
rnacentral:lncRNA from 10 species